rnacentral:tRNA from 1 species
GGGCCUAUAGCUCAGUUGGUUAGCAGCAGCAGACUCAUAAUCUGAAGGUCCUAGGUUCAAGUCCUAGUGGGCCCACCA